rnacentral:rRNA from 1 species
UGCUAAUCUGCGAUAAGCGCCGGUAAGGUGAUAUGAACCGUUAUAACCGGCGAUACCCGAAUGGGGAAACCCAGUGUGACUCGUCACACUAUCAUUAACUGAAUCCAUAGGUUAAUGAGGCGAACCGGGGGAACUGAAACAUCUAAGUACCCCGAGGAAAAGAAAUCAACCGAGAUUCCCCCAGUAGCGGCGAGCGAACGGGGAGGAGCCCAGAGCCUGAAUCAGCAUGUGUGUUAGUGGAAGCGUCUGGAAAGGCGCGCGAUACAGGGUGACAGCCCCGUACACAAAAGCGCAUGUGCUGUGAGCUCGAUGAGUAGGGCGGGACACGUGGUAUCCUGUCUGAAUAUGGGGGGACCAUCCUCCAAGGCUAAAUACUCCUGACUGACCGAUAGUGAACCAGUACCGUGAGGGAAAGGCGAAAAGAACCCCGGCGAGGGGAGUGAAAAAGAACCUGAAACCGU